rnacentral:rRNA from 1 species
AGAGUUUGAUCAUGGCUCAGAUUGAACGCUGGCGGCAGGCCUAACACAUGCAAGUCGAGCGGUAGCACAGAGAGCUUGCUCUCGGGUGACGAGCGGCGGACGGGUGAGUAAUGUCUGGGAAACUGCCUGAUGGAGGGGGAUAACUACUGGAAACGGUAGCUAAUACCGCAUAACGUCGCAAGACCAAAGUGGGGGACCUUCGGGCCUCAUGCCAUCAGAUGUGCCCAGAUGGGAUUAGCUAGUAGGUGGGGUAAUGGCUCACCUAGGCGACGAUCCCUAGCUGGUCUGAGAGGAUGACCAGCCACACUGGAACUGAGACACGGUCCAGACUCCUACGGGAGGCAGCAGUGGGGAAUAUUGCACAAUGGGCGCAAGCCUGAUGCAGCCAUGCCGCGUGUAUGAAGAAGGCCUUCGGGUUGUAAAGUACUUUCAGCGAGGAGGAAGGCGUUAAGGUUAAUAACCUUAGCGAUUGACGUUACUCGCAGAAGAAGCACCGGCUAACUCCGUGCCAGCAGCCGCGGUAAUACGGAGGGUGCAAGCGUUAAUCGGAAUUACUGGGCGUAAAGCGCACGCAGGCGGUCUGUCAAGUCGGAUGUGAAAUCCCCGGGCUCAACCUGGGAACUGCAUUCGAAACUGGCAGGCUAGAGUCUUGUAGAGGGGGGUAGAAUUCCAGGUGUAGCGGUGAAAUGCGUAGAGAUCUGGAGGAAUACCGGUGGCGAAGGCGGCCCCCUGGACAAAGACUGACGCUCAGGUGCGAAAGCGUGGGGAGCAAACAGGAUUAGAUACCCUGGUAGUCCACGCCGUAAACGAUGUCGACUUGGAGGUUGUGCCCUUGAGGCGUGGCUUCCGGAGCUAACGCGUUAAGUCGACCGCCUGGGGAGUACGGCCGCAAGGUUAAAACUCAAAUGAAUUGACGGGGGCCCGCACAAGCGGUGGAGCAUGUGGUUUAAUUCGAUGCAACGCGAAGAACCUUACCUACUCUUGACAUCCAGAGAACUUAGCAGAGAUGCUUUGGUGCCUUCGGGAACUCUGAGACAGGUGCUGCAUGGCUGUCGUCAGCUCGUGUUGUGAAAUGUUGGGUUAAGUCCCGCAACGAGCGCAACCCUUAUCCUUUGUUGCCAGCGGUUAGGCCGGGAACUCAAAGGAGACUGCCAGUGAUAAACUGGAGGAAGGUGGGGAUGACGUCAAGUCAUCAUGGCCCUUACGAGUAGGGCUACACACGUGCUACAAUGGCAUAUACAAAGAGAAGCGACCUCGCGAGAGCAAGCGGACCUCAUAAAGUAUGUCGUAGUCCGGAUUGGAGUCUGCAACUCGACUCCAUGAAGUCGGAAUCGCUAGUAAUCGUAGAUCAGAAUGCUACGGUGAAUACGUUCCCGGGCCUUGUACACACCGCCCGUCACACCAUGGGAGUGGGUUGCAAAAGAAGUAGGUAGCUUAACCUUCGGGAGGGCGCUUACCACUUUGUGAUUCAUGACUGGGGUGAAGUCGUAACAAGGUAACCGUAGGGGAACCUGCGGUUG